CUGAGAUGGGAACUAUGGAACCAGAAACCUCCCCCACUCCUAAUCUCCCACCUACAGAAGAACAGAAAAUGGAAUAUAGUCAGGAGGUUGCUAACCCAGAAUGCUAUCUUAAACAUCUUUUACAGAACAGAUGGGCACUCUGUUUUUUUAAAACUUGGCAAGCAAACUUUCGGCUGAUCUCUAAGUUUGAUACUGUUGAAGACUUUUGGGCUCUGGACAACCAUAUUCAGUUGUCUAGUAAUUUAAUGCCUGGCUGUGACUAUUCACUUUUUAAGGAUGGUAUUGAACCUAUGUGGAAAGAUGAGAAAAACAAACAAGGAGGACGAUGGCUAAUUACAUUGAACAAACAGCAGAGACUAAGUGACUUCAAUUGCUUUUGGCUAGAAACACUGUUGUGCCUUAUUGGAGAAUCUUUUGAUGACUACAGUGACGAUAUGUGUGGAGCUGGUGUUAAUGUUAGAGCUAAAGGAAGGUAUGUAAGAAAAGGUUAG